GAGCCAAACCUGCUGCCACGUCCUGCUUGCCAUCCACGCACACAGUGGGCUGUGACUCCAGGACCUUUCUUCAGACGCCUUGCUUCUCUGCAUCAUGCUCUUUCUGUUACCGAGGGAACUCCAACAAUCACAGAUAGGCCUGCCAGCAUCUUCCCUGAGACAAAGACUUUUCUUCUUCGAACAUAUUUAUGGACUUUGGGAAGAAAUGUAUAUGAAGAACUCAAAGGACAACAGCUGGAUUUUUCAUGAUGAAACAGCAAAGAUUCCAGAUGUAAAAAUCAGAAUUAAACACUAAAAUGAAAUAAUAAAACUAGUAAAUAAUAAAUGCAAUUAUGUCAUCUAUAUGAUAUAUAAAUAGACGAAUAACUGAUUCUGUUACAGCAUAAGAAAAUCCAACAAGAGUAAUAAUACCUACUGUGUUGAAACUGCUCAAAACAAGUAAAAGCAAAUCUUUGCAUAGUAAGAGUAAUGAGUAGAAGAGAGUAUAUAGGACAAAGUUACUGGUCUCAGAAGAUUAAAAUAUAAUUUUAUUUACGGUUUACCAAAGAUACCUAAAACUACAUUUUUGCUCUUUUUCUAUCUACUAAAUAUUUACUGAUGUUUUUGAAAUUAGAAUUUUUUUUUUUAGCUCUAUUCUUUUUUGUGUGUGUCUUUUUGCCUUUUUCUAGGGCCACCCCCCGCAGCAUA